UACGAAGGGUGCAAGCGUUACUCGGAAUUACUGGGCGUAAAGCGCGCGUAGGUGGCUUCGUAAGUCCGUUGUGAAAGUCAAAGGCUCAACCUUUGAAAGCCGAUGGAUACUGCGGAGCUAGAGUACGGAAGAGGCGAGUGGAAUUCCUGGUGUAGCGGUGGAAUGCGCAGAUAUCAGGAGGAACACCCAAUAGCGGAAAGGCAG
rnacentral:rRNA from 1 species